UGGGAGUCGCAGUUCGUCCGGGGCAACUUCUGCCUCUCAGGCUGGUUGCAGCCGGCGCCCCGGGCCAGCGCAGCCUGGGCCCCAGCCAUCCUGCCCCCUCUCCGGCCGGGAGAAGCGGGCGCUGGGCUCUGGGGCUCCCUGAGCCCGCGGAGGCCAGCGCCCAGGGCGCACAAGAAGAGCAGGGGUGGAAGAAGAAAGGAAUUUCAAGGAGGGCAUUGCUUAAAGGGACGUUUGGACAGAGCCAGUUUCGGUGCUGGGCCGCAGCUCAGUGCCUAAUUUUAAUCUCAGGACUGCAGCCUGCGACCCGUGGACGGUCUCCUCAAACUUCUUCCCUCACACCCGAGUCUCUUCCUCCCUAGGAGUCUCCUGGUGCAUGGAACUGACCUGAAACUGGGGUUCCCCAAAGCCUCUGCCUGCCUUCUGCAGCUGAGCUGCUUCAGCCUCUGUGGGACACCCAUUUGAAGGAACCUGUCCAAAUCCAUGUAAGAGAUCUUGUAUUUUUUCCCUCCCAGCUGAGACUUCCUCCUCUGCCAGACACCUGUUCCAAGGAAGCUCCUGCAACUAGGGUGUGGGCUUGUGUCGUGAAGGUUGAGUAUCCAGGGUGACAGUGAAGAAUCCAUACUCCCACCCAAGAGUGGAUUUCAGUGCUGAGAGGAAGAGGAGGAAGACAUCUUGCUGGCUUGUGCCCCAGGUCUGCCUCUGGAGAAACAGGGCAAGCUGGCCCAUGGAACAUGUCACACUCUUGCAACCGGGGCACCUGAUCAGGCUGGAUGUGCCCAUCAGAUGCUGAAGGCACAGCUGCGUCCCUGCCCUGAGGUGAGUCCAUUUGGCCAGAGCAGGAGCGGUGCCCUGUCUCCAACCCAAAUCCAUAAGCAUGUUCUGAGUGUUCCAACUCUUUCUUCAACUCCAUCCCUGAGCCCGGAGUCUCAGCCAGGCGUCUGCCAGGGGCUCUGCCUGGGCUGGGGUUCAGCCUGGUGACCUUCAGUCUAACACCACCUCUCAGCCCUUCCUCCUGUUUCUCAGGAGCCCUAGAAGCUACCCUGGCCUGGGGCCCGGGAAGCUCCAUUUUGUUUCUCCUCAGCUGGGGAGCUGAACGAAUGCCCUCGACACUGGGGUCUUUCUCUCUCAGUCCCCCAGAGCCCUCACCCCAACUUACCCCGCCUCAGUACAUAAAAACCUCUGCAUCUCCACCAUGGGGUACCGAGAGCCUUUAACUCAGUCCCAGCUGCCUUCCCGCCCAGGCCCUUCCCUUAGUUCUGCUCCUUAAAACCACGAUUGCAGACAGGACAUAGAGGUUCAGGUGGAAGGGGAACAAAGACAUUUGGGGAGAACUCCUGAAAGAUAAAGCCCAGGGAAUCCUGUCUGGCCCCCCAAAUAGCACCACUUUUACAAGCUCCAUUCACAACCACUGGCCCCUUUGGACACGUGAUGACUUUACAGAGGCUGCAGGCUUGGUAGUUUCAAGGCCAAGAUUCAAGACAGAUAUUGUGGGUCCAGUGUCCUUGCCCCUUGAGAAACAAAGAGCAAACCAACCCCAGAGAACACGUCCACCUCUCUGGCCCCUGGGCAACCAGAGCCGGAUGGAACCACCCAUCAGAGGCAGAAGACACACAUCUUUCUGCCCCCUGAGGUCAGUUGAUUUGUGCCAGAGAGUCAGUGGUGCGCUGUGAGCCAUCUUAACACAUCCUAGGGCUCCCACUAACCCGUCUUUGCACCAGCAUCCAGGGGGCUUCAGAUGGGCUUUGUCUGUGCUCUGGCCCCUCCCGGAGGCCGUCUCCUCUAACAAACACUGACUCUCAGCCUUUCCUCCGGUUUCCCUCAGCGGCCCCCCAGGGCUCUCCUGGCCUUGGGCAGCUGCAGGCUUGAAGGAAUUCCUCCUCACCUUCUAAGCCAAGUGAAGUGCCCAGAGAGAGGGGCAAUUCUCUCAAAGACUCCCAGCACACACCCCAACCGACCCCAACGUAAGGCCUUAAACCCUCUGUUUUCUCCACCCACAUGUGCCAUGAGAG
rnacentral:lncRNA from 1 species